rnacentral:lncRNA from 1 species
UUGGGAUUCACAACAGUUCAAAGAUAAAUCAACUCAGAAUAAAGUCAAUACGGGUUCAACUCGUGGUGGAGCACUGCACUCCAGAGGUCGAAAAUCACAUACAGAUAUUGCAGUGACCUUGGUAAGUACUUCUCACUGCCUUACAUGAUAUUCAUUUGACAUUUGCAACCUAUACUGCUUUUAAUUGUAUAACAUUAUUAAGAACGUCAACAUGGUCGUCCUCCAAAGCCUGAUGAACUAUUUAUGGCUACCCACACAAACAAGAAAGGUGAAUGGGUUGAUAGUCGUGCUCGUGAAACUUAUGUAAGUUAUUCUUUUAACUUUUUCUAUAUUUAUAUUUUAAUUUCCUAACACUUUCAUUUCCUAAUUAUCUAUGUAGGAAAACUAUCAUGAGCGAUUGAGGGCCCUUCAAGCAGAUAGUUCUCAGGACUCUAGCACUGAUGUCCAUCAACUUGAUCCUGCAACC